UAAUUAAAAUAGAAAAAUUUUUUCCCGAUAAAAAAAGAUCUAUAUAAGCUUUAAGUUAUAGCUUACCACCUCAAUGUGGAAUUAUUGUGCAUAAAAACUUAUAUAGAAAGCGAAAUACUUACAAUUUUUUUGAUAUCUGGAUUGAGUUUAAAAGAAUUUAGUUCUUAAAGUAGUUGAGGAGUUAUAAGAUUUCUCAAAUGUAGGAUUUUAAAUAUAAGUAUAACAUUGGAAUAAUUUUCUAAAUCUUAAAGCUUUAUAUUAUAUAUAUUUACUUUUAUCUAAUAAAAUAAACUCUUUUUAACCACAUUAAUAUGGUUAAUUAAUAAUGUUUAAAUAAGUAUUUAAAAACAAAAUCUUGAGAAGGAACUCGGCAAGCUAUUAAUCCUCAACUGUUUAACAAAAACAUAGCUUAAAGAAAUUAUUGUAUUUUAAGUGAUUUCUGCCCAGUGAAUUUUUAACGGCCGCAGUACACUGACUGUGCUAAGGUAGCAUAAUAAUUUGGCUUUUAAUUGGAGUCGGGUAUGAAAGGGACCAUGGGGAGCAACUGUCUUCUCUUUAUACAUAAAAGUUACUAAGAAAGUGAAAAUUCUUUCAAUAUGGUAUGUAAGACGAGAAGACCCUAAGAAUUUCUAUUAAUUUAAUGUUAUUAUACAUUUUAAAAUUUUUGUUGGGGCAACAACUUUGACUAACCAAAGUUUAAUUAUAGUUUACAUAACAAAUUAUUUAAAAUAAGAUCAAAUUACCUUAGGGAUAACAGCAUAAUUAUUUUAAUAGAUUGUGACCUCGAUGUUGGACUAAGGACUUUAUUAAAUAGCCUUUAAUUAAGCUAGUUCUGUUCGAACUACAAUACCUUA
rnacentral:rRNA from 1 species